rnacentral:rRNA from 1 species
UCCGGUAGAUCCUGCCGGACCCCACUGCUAUCGGGGUGGGACUAAGACAUGCUAGUCGUGCGCCUCCAAGCCACGGUGGAGGCGCGGCGCACAGCUCAGUAACACGUGGCUAACCUACCCUUGGGACCGGGACAACCCCGGGAAACUGGGGCUAAUCCCCGAUAGGUGAGGACUCCUGGAAUGGGUCCUCGCUGAAAGGGCGUCUAGACCAUGCUUCUAGACGCUGCCCAAGGAUGGGGCCGCGGCCGAUCAGGUUGUUGGUGAGGUAACGGCUCACCAAGCCUAAGACCGGUACGGGCCGUGAGAGCGGGAGCCCGGAGAUGGACACUGAGACAAGGGUCCAGGCCCUACGGGGCGCAGCAGUCGCGAAACCUCCGCAAUACGCGAAAGCGUGACGGGGCCACCCCGAGUGCCGUCCGCUGAGGACGGCUUUUCCCCAGUGUAGACAGCUGGGGGAAUAAGGGGAGGGCAAGUCGGGUGUCAGCCGCCGCGGUAAUACCCGCUCCCCGAGUGGUGGGGACGCUUAUUGGGCCUAAAGCAUCCGUAGCCGGCUGGACAAGUCCCCUGUUAAAUCCAGCGAUUUAAUCGCUGGACUGCGGGGGAUACUGUCCAGCUAGGGGGCGGGAGAGGCCGGCGGUAUUCCCGGGGUAGGGGUGAAAUCUUAUAAUCCCGGGAGGACCACCAGUGGCGAAGGCUGCCGGCUGGAACGCGCCCGACGGUGAGGGAUGAAAGCUGGGGGAGCGAACCGGAUUAGAUACCCGGGUAGUCCCAGCUGUAAACGAUGCGGGCUAGGUGUUGGCACGGCUACAAGCCGUGUCAGUGCCGCAGGGAAGCCGUUAAGCCCGCCGCCUGGGGAGUACGGCCGCAAGGCUGAAACUUAAAGGAAUUGGCGGGGGAGCACCACAAGGGGUGAAGCUUGCGGUUUAAUUGGAGUCAACGCCGGA